CUCUGACACUUUAUUCCAUGUUGCCUAAUAGUUUUAAAAGCCCCUAUUUUAUAGUCAGUGCAUCUUUCUGUGGGUCCCCAGAGAAGGGAAGACUGUGAGACAUUGAACUUCACUUCCUCCUUGGAAGCUAGAUUUGGCCAUGUGAUUAGCUACAGUUAAUGUUUGUAAGUGGAAGCCUUAAAAGUUGAUGUGCAAUUUGCUACACUCCCUUCCCACUGCCAAAUGUUGGUGAAAACGUGUCAAGAUGAUGCCUCUGCCAGCUUGAGUCUUCAUACCCUUCUUCUGACUUGCUUUGGACAUGUAGUAUCAUGGAGAACUAGGAUUUCAAACUGGAUCAUUUUGAGGGUAAAAGGGACAACAGGCACAAUUUGACAAUGUAUGUUCAUCCUAGUGAAACUUGUAAUGUUAAGCCACUGAGACCUGGGGGUUGUUUUUUUACCGCAGCGUAACCUAGCCUAUCUUGAUUGAUAUAUAAAUGCAUGUAUAGAAAUGCUCAAUAACUCAUUCAUAGAAGUGCAACAAAUGACUCAUGUUGCACUAUAACUGUGUGAGGUUGGUAAGAAAAUGGAUUCUAACAUCUAGGCCUAAGGUGAGUCAGCUACAUGGACACUGACAAGUGAGUAACCUGCUGGGAUCAAGAGCUCUUGGCUUCCAAGUGAAGGCUCUUUUUCAGAUCUUUCCAAGGAAAUGUUACCAAGGAGCUACAUUCAGGACAAAAGCUGCUGACAUGAGAAAAGGGUUAGUAUAGCCCAGAAAGACUAGCCUCGGUCUUGUCUGUAUGACCGUAUAUGCUUAAGAGUAUGGCACCAAGUUUUUACCGUGGAGGAGCCUGAGCCAACCUACAGAAUGUUUGAUUUGACCAGCAGAGUAUUGUAGACAAAACAUGAAUUUGCAGCCCUUUCAGUUGAGGAAGCACUCUCAGCUUUGCCACUGCCCUUUGUUUCUUUCUGUCAUUUGAUCCUGCUCUUUUCCACUUCUUCACCUCAGUUGUAUUACCUGCCUGGCUUUUGAAGACAUUUGAGUUUGGACCUCUGCAGGGAACCAUUGUACCUGAGAUGGAAAGCACAGCAGCCCGCAUGGACAGAAACAGGGCACUUCACCUCUGCAGUGUUCCUUCCAUAACCCCAGUCUAAUCAUAAGCAAAAUAAUCAGACAAACCCAGAUUAGGAGACAUCCUACAGGAUACCUGGACAGCAUUCCUAAAGCCUGUCAGGGUCACAAAAAACAAGGAAAGACUGAAGACUGUCAUAGGCCAGAAGCAAAUGGAGAGACAUGGCAACUAAAUGCAAUGUAGUGUCCUGGAUCAGAUACUAGAAUAGUAAGUAACAGGUCAUCAAUAGGAACACUGGUGAAGUCUGAAGAAUGUCUGGAAUUUAGAUAACAGUUACGUACCAAUAAUGGGCUCUUAGUUUUGACAAAUGUACCAUGGUAAUGUAAGACAUUAACAAUGGGAGAAACUGGGUGAGGGGUAUACAGGAAUUCUCUUUGCUUAUAUGUGUGACUUUUCUGUAAAUCUAAAAUUAUUC
rnacentral:lncRNA from 1 species